UACGUAGGGUGCGAGCGUUAGUCGGAAUUACUGGGCGUAAAGCGUGCGCAGGCGGUUUUGUAAGCCAGGUGUGAAAUCCCCGGGCUCAACCUGGGAAUGGCAUUUGGGACUGCAAGGCUGGAGUGUGGCAGAGGAGACUGGAAUUCCUGGUGUAGCAGUGAAAUGCGUAGAUAUCAGGAGGAAUACCGAUGGCGAAGGCAGGUCUCUGGGCUGACACUGACGCUCAUGCACGAAAGCGUGGGGAGCAAACAGG
rnacentral:rRNA from 1 species